AAUGAACGCUGGCGGCAGGCCUAACACAUGCAAGUCGAACGGAUCCUUCGGGAUUAGUGGCGGACGGGUGAGUAACGCGUGGGAACAUACCCAAAGGUACGGAAUAGCCUCGGGAAACUGGGAGUAAUACCGUAUGUGCUCGAAAGAGGAAAGAUUGAUCGCCUUUGGAUGGGCCCGCGUUGGAUUAGGUAGUUGGUGGGGUAAUGGCCUACCAAGCCGACGAUCCAUAGCUGGUAUGAGAGGAUGAUCAGCCACACUGGGACUGAGACACGGCCCAGACUCCUACGGGAGGCAGCAGUGGGGAAUCUUAGACAAUGGGGGAAACCCUGAUCUAGCCAUGCCGCGUGAUCGAUGAAGGCCUUAGGGUUGUAAAGAUCUUUCAGGUGGGAGGAUAAUGACUGUACCACCAGAAGAAGCCCCGGCUAACUCCGUGCCAGCCGCCGCCGUAA
rnacentral:rRNA from 1 species